ensembl:miRNA oar-mir-412 oar-mir-412
AGGGAAGAACGUCAGUACCAGCAACCACUCUGGGGUACAGGACGGAUGGUCGACCAGUUGGAAAGUAAUUGUUUCUAAUGUACUUCACCUGGUCCACUAGCUGUCCGUACCCACUGCAGCCUGC